GGCUCUCCCAACCCUGGAGCUCCUGUACGGAGUCCGGUCCUCGUGGGUGAAGGAUUCCAACCACGGGGGGGGUAUAGGACCGUCGAUUCCUCCCAGGUCUAUCAUGGAUAUUUAACUGCAGUUCUGUGAGUAUCCCAACAUAACCAUGAAGAUGAACUGCAAACUGUAAGUCAUUCAUUUCUCAUUACUCUUGGGCACAUUGAUGUAUUUUGGCUUCCUAGUGAGUUAACCCGGUACCUGAAGGUUGAUCCGAGUAGCAAGGAUGUUUUAUUGGUUCAUGGGUUACUUAGGUGUUUGGUUUAUGUUGGUUUUAAUGGUUUGUUAAAAUGGUUACAGGCUCCAAGUUAUUGUUGUAAUGGGUUGGGUUCUGAUAUCUUCAGUCUUCUUUCCAGUUACUCUCCUGAGCUCUGCAUCUUCAUCCCAUGAGUGUUGCUUCACUGAUGAGGUCGUGGUCUGAGUGAGCAGAGGUGCAUACUGGGAUACAGAGCUGUCUGAAGUCUACAUGUCUGUAGACACGCCCCCUCAGGGGAAACCGAGUGUUUGAGAAACCGUUGUGAAGUCAGUUACAUGGACUGCAAUGUUCUUUAAAAUGGAGACAGGGAUUCAGAAGGAGAAACACCAGGGGGAGAUGGGGGGCUCCUCAUCUCAACGACUAAAACACAACUUCAGUCUCACACAGAGAACCAUGGAACACAUUCAACAGUCCCCUCCAGGCAUCGUGACUCCUCAGGAGCAGUUUCAUUACCAAGAAGGUCUUAUUUGGGGCCAUCCCCAGAUGGAUCCUGCUCCUCAAGAGCCAGCCCCCUCCACUGGGUGGUCUACUGAACAGAUGACCUCCUUCCUGCCCUCAGGCUGACUAAAGCUAAACCGUUUGCAGCUGUGAAGGCCCCUCAUUCAGGAAACCACUGGACUACAAAGACAUGACUUCAGAGACGUUGAAUCAACCUGUGACACAUUUUGGAGACGCCAAGUGUAAUCCAUCACCAAUGUGGGACGCCACUGAAGAAUGGUGUACAUAAUUUAUUUCUCUGGAGACAUUGGUUGUUCUGUUCUGGGUGCCCUGCAAGGAGAGCUGGGGUUGGAUGAUGGAACGUUAUUUGGCAUGAGGUUUUUACCCUGCAAGAUUUGUUUGGCCUUUUAUGGCUCAGUGGUGUGUGUGUUUGGGUUUGACAUGAGAUGGAAGAUUUUUGAGUAUCGCUAGGGUUCUACUGUGUCUGUUUCCCACUCCCACCUGGCAUGGGGUUCUACGUGCGUGUCCUGGGUUCUAUGCGUGUGUCCAGCUUGCUUUGAUCGUGAUAAUGUUCACACGAUGAUCUGUGUGAUUGGCUUGGGAUAUUGGACUGGUCAACUAAAUCAUACCUGAUGGACAGCCACAUGUUUACUUGAGGCCUCCAGUAGACGUGAAGAGCCCUGAGUGACGCUCCGUAGCGAUAUCCAACACACUGGGCAGGAAGGAGAGUAUCCAACUCGAGUGUAAAAGGAUGCAAGCGACGUGUUCAGAUCAGUGACUUCAAACUAGGACUUCACCAAUCAGGAUCAAUGGAGGAUGGACACCUAAAGGAAUUCCAAAAGGAGACUGACGUUGGAAAGGGACCUAAAUGGAUAUUCAAGAUGACCUUCAGACCUGUAAUGACACGGCUCUUCCUACCUGGCUGGAUUGAUGGAGAGCCCUGUGGAUCUUGUCUUGCUCUCAGUUGCACGUCUUCUCAGGCUGAACUGUACUUGUUUCGGACAGGACUAGCUGAACGAUUGGUUCCCUUAAAUCAGAACCAAUCUGGGAACUCCAACUAGUGCACUCUUCGAGCUGAAGUUGUGCUCUUCAGCUGAGGAGGUAAGGAAACCUUCACUGGGGCUUCAAGGUGUAAAAGGAGAAUGUUUCAAUGUGUUCCAUGGUACUCUGAUGAGGACUGUUGUUGUGUUCCACUGGCUGAGAGGAAGAACCCUCACAUCUUCCACUUGGCCUUUCUCCUCUGAGAAUCCUGGCGCCAUCUUGAAGGAUAUUCCAGCUCAUGUAACUGAUGUCACGACAGAUUCUCAGACACUUGGUUUCUCCUGAGGGGCGUGUCUAUAGAACUGAAGACUUCAGAAAGCACUUUAUCCCAGCAUGCAUCUCUGCUCACUCAGACCACACCCCCAUGAGUAGGAUGCAACACUCUUGGGAUGGAGAUGUAGUGUUUUAUAAGUAACAAGGGAGCAGACUAAGGGGAUUAGAACGUAAUGGAAUGUCAAGUCUAAAUCUUUAAACCAUGAAGAUGGUUGGAAAAGUCAGGAAUUUGGCUCAUUUUUAAUAUGGGCAGUCCUUUCACUCGGAUGCUCACUUGAAAUGUACAUGCGUUGGCUGGCUGGCAUGAUUUGCUGUUGGUGAUGAGGCGGUCAGGGUGACGUUGCAGGGCUAUGGUCGGCUCUCUGUGAGCUCAACGUUUAGAUUUUCUCUGGUUUGUACCCUGAAUAAUCUAGAUAAUUGUAAAAUGUAGACACGGUUUUGCAUUGAAUGAUUCCAGGAUUUUAGGUGUAAAGUUGUUGUACAUGGUAGUUUGGUUCUUCGUAUGGUUUUGAGUGAUUAUAACUUGUACACACUGGGUGCAUAAUAAUGUAAUGUUACACUGAAUAGUAUUAAUGACCAACAGCAACAAACAGAUCUCCUCAAGGUAAGUCUGUUGGCUGUAUUUUAAUGAAGACCAUCGCUGGACUUCAGGAUCUUCCUCCGUUCAGCUCAAGGUGAGGCGCUGGUUACGUUUUUUUCUUUGGUUGGUUCCGGCUGGAAUGUUCGGAUUCCAGUCGGACGGUUUGUGCUUCCCGCCGUGGAAGGUUCUGAGUGCGGUCCCUUGAUUUAGUCCCAAUGGUUAGCAUAGAAAGUUGUAGUCUUGACAACCAUAAGAACACUAACACGAAUUUCGUACAAUAUGUUAAUUUUCGAUGGUUGCGCCGUACUUUUAACCACGUUGACGGGACUCUCGCUGCGUACAAAACGGCGUUCUACUUGCGGCCCAAUUUUUGGUGAAGGCUGAAAAUCAUUUCAAGGUGGAAGACAAUUUGACAUUUCUUCAAAGGAACCCAGCACCUGAAUAUGAGUUGAGUAAAUUUGAUUUAAUAUUGAUACUGCUUAGUGUUCAUUGUUACUUCACUGUUACUUGCUGAUAUAAACCUCCUGUUGUAGCUCAAAGGUGAGGCUGAGAGGCUUGGGACCGGAGGCUUGUGGUGCCAGGAUGGACCGGAGACUGAGGCUGGAGAUCAGGGGCCUGCAGCACCGGACCAGAGGACCAGGAAUCCAUGGCUGAAGGAGCUGAUGGAGGCCCUGCCUGGUGGAGGAGCCAUGCUGAAAGCCCUGCCUGGUGGAGGAGCUGACGGAGGCCCUGCCUGGUGGAGGAUGUCUGUCGUGGGGUAGAUGGAGCCUGACUCUGAAGUGACCAUCACACACUCUGCCACUUCUCGUAGAAUACUGCUACCACAAACCACCGGCGUUCGUACCAUAUAUACCAGACGACUACAUCUGUUUUACCACAUGUUGCAGCAAGCCUUCCGCUGUUUGUUCAAGACCAGGAGUCUGUCUGAGGAGAGCUGCUGGAGGAGCUGUGACGCUGGAGGACGACUAGGAAUCGACCAACAAGGAUUCCUCAACGUGUUUCUGGAGCGGAGGCGAGCUGAUGGGGGAGCCGUGAAUCUGGAGGAUGACGUCACUCUACCAACAAGGAUUACCAGGACUCUGGCUGAGGAGAGCUGAUGGAGGAGCCAUAAAACCAGGAAUCUGGAGGACUGACGGAGAAGCCGUACAUCUGGAAGGCAAAUCCUGAGGACGAUCAGGACUCUACCAUCAAGGAUUCCUCACACACCUGAGCUGAACCUCACCUGAUCCUGUUUGGUCGGGGGCAGACGCACUGAGCUGAACCCCACCUGAUCCGGACAUCGGGCUGGUCCCGUCUCCUCAGUUCAUCUGAGCCUCUUCCUCCAGAAGACAUGCUGAGCUCAGCGGUCUGAGGCUGAUGUAUCAAUGACCUCAAGUGGGAGUGAUCUUCUUGACCCCACAUGUAGCCGUGUGCUUCCACAUACCUUUCCCUCACGUCUGUCACUAACCUCAUUACUUCACUACUCUCUACUCCUUCUCCUUCUUCUUCCUUCUCCGUUGUUCGAACCUUUACUCUGAAGGAGUGUCUCCUUGAACCUUUACACUGAAGGAGCGUCUUCCUGUCCUCAGAGGGUUCAGCGUUAGGGUUGAGAGUCAGGGUUUAGAGUCAGGGACAGAGCUGGUCAGGGAGGGCUGGUUUUACAUAAACCUUUUCACUUGCUUUCUGAAUGGUGGUGACAUUUUGAAAAGAUUAAUUUGGAAAAAUGUUUUCCUCUUUUUUUGCUUUACAAAAAUAUGUAUUAAACUUCUGUGUUUGUAACCAGACCAGGUAUCCAUGGCUGAAGGAGCUGAUGGUGGAGCCGUGCUGAAAGAGCGGAUGGAGGAGCCGGGCUGACGGCCCUGCCUGGUGGAGGAGCCGUGCUGACGGCCCUGCCUGGUGGAGGAGCCGUGCUGACGGCCCUGCCUGGUGGAGGAGCCGUGCUGACGGCCCUGCCUGGUGGAGGAGCCGUGCUGACGGCCCUGCCUGGUGGAGGAGCCGUGCUGACGGCCCUGCCUGGUGGAGGAGCCGUGCUGACGGCCCUGCCUGGUGGAGGAUGUCUGUCGUGGGGUAGAUGGAGCCUGACUCUGUGACAUCACACUCACUGCCACUUCUCGUAGAAUACUGCUACCACAAACCACCGGCGUUUGUAACAAUAUACCAGACUACAUCCGUUUUACCACACAUUGAAGCAAGACUUCUGCUGUUUGUUCCAGACCAGGACUCUGUCUGAGGAGAGCAGAUGGAGGAGCUGAGAUGCUGGAGGACAACUAGGAAUCGACCAACAAGGAUUCUUCGUAAGUUUGUAUUUACUUGCAUGGUUGACCUAAAGGGCAAAAUAGAGCUGUUACUUUGACAUGCGUUAACCAACUACCGCUGUGUUUUCUUACUAGAACGUGUUUCUGGAGCGGAGGCCAGCUGGUAGGGGAGCCGUGAAUCUGGAGGAUGACAUCACUCUACCAACAAGGAUUGUAAGUUUGUAUUAACCAAACAAACUGGAAAUAAAGGGCUUAAAAAUAAUACAAACUACAUGUUUGUUACCAGACUUUAGGGCCAGACUCGCGCUGUUUGUUCCAGACCAGGACUCUGACUGAGGAGAGCUGAUGGAGGAGCCAAGACUCUGGAGGACGACAUCACUCUACCAACCAGGAUCCUCAGACGAAUUACGUUUGUAACCAGACCAGGAAUCUGGAGGACUGAUGGAGAAGCCGUACAUCUGGAAGGCAAAUCCUGAGGACCAGCAGGACUCUACCAUCAAGGAUUCCUCAUAAGUUUGCAUUAUCUGGACAAAGUGGCCUAGACACACCUGAGCUGAACCUCACCUGAUCCUGUUUGGUCGGGGGUAGACACACCUGAGCUAAACCCACCCUGAUCCUGACAUCCUGCUGGUCCCGUCUCCUCAGUUCUCCUGAGCCUCGUCCUCCAGAAGACCUGCUGAGCUCAGCAGUCUGAGGCUGAUGGAUCAAUGACCUCCAGUGGGAGGGAUCUUCUUGACCCCACUUGUAACCGUGUGCUUCCGCACGCCUUUCCCUCACAUCUGUCACUAACCUCACUACUUCACUACUCUACUGCUUCCUCUUUUCUUCCUUCUCUGUGGUUUAAACCUUUUACACUGAAGGCGCGUCUUCCUGCCCUCAGAGGGUUCAGCGUUAGGGUUGAGAGUCAGGGUUUAGAGUCAGGGACAGAGCUGGUCAGGGAGGACUGCUUUUACACAAACCUCUUGACUUGCUUUCGGAAUUGUGGUGACAUUUUGAAAAGAUUCAUUUGGUAAAAUCUUUUCCUCUGCUUCCCUUUACAAAAUUGUAUCAAACUUCUGUCAAGUGUUUUUGUUUAAAUAUUAAAAUCCCACAUUGACUUCUACAUGUUUGGUGCGGUUCAUUUAUUUGUCCUUUUAACUUGGUUAAUGUCAAGCUAAACUCCUGCAAUACAUUAAUA
ensembl:lncRNA